CCUGUCCGAGACAAAGCUACCUUUCUUUCCUCGUGGGAAUGGACCGGCCGGGCUUUGGCAAUCUGUCCCCUCGAAAGACAAAGUGACCUCUUCCAACAGGGGAAGACUGAAGCAAGGGGUGCCAGGAAGAACUGGAGUCUCUGGAGAAUAAAAGCUGGAAGCGUGCCCCCGAAAGUCCCCAGCCCCGGGUGGUCAGUGGUCUGACUUGCACGGACCGGUGGCCUUGGCCAGGAGCGGUCCUACCGGCCUGUACUUUGAAUUUCCUGCCCAGGCUGUAAUUUUAAUUUCCACUGGGUGCUGGCAAAGCCCCCCUGGGGGUGAGCCCCAGUGCCUGGCAGGAGCGGAGCGGGCUUGCAGGGAGGUGUUCACCCGGUCAGCGUCAGGAACCAUCCUAACUGAGGCCUCGGCUGCCUCUUUCCCUUUGGUCGCCGUGUGUGUGCCGGACACCUCUGGCAGGACUAACCCUGUGGCUUUUAUGUCCAACGUGCUGUAUGCCUGCAGCAUCCUGUCCGAGACAAAGCUACCUUUCUUUCCUCGUGGGAAUGGACCGGCCGGGCUUUGGCAAUCUGGCCCCUUGAAAGACUAAAGUGACCUCUUGCAGCAGGGGAAGACUGAAGCAAGGGGUGCCAGGAAGAACUGGAGUCUCUGGAGAAUAAAAGCUGGAAGCGUGCCCCCGAAA